rnacentral:rRNA from 1 species
GACGAACGCUGGCGGCGUGCUUAAUACAUGCAAGUCGAACGAAAAGGCCCGGCGCUUGUUGGUUUCACGAGUGGGGAAGGCGGGAGUAACACACGUGGAAACUGCCCUUGACUGUGUGAUAACUCCACGAAAAUGCGGCUAAUAUCGCAGAUGAGCUCCUGCUGCAUAUGGGGGGUUGGAGAGUGUCGGCUGUUCUGGAUGUACUGGAGGCUUAUCAGCUGGUUUGGCUGGUAGUUGCUUACAAAGGCUACGACGGGUAGCCGGCCUGAGAGGGUGACCAGGCACAUUGGGACUGCGAUACGGACCAGACUGCUAUCGGAGGCAGUAGUGGGAAAUAUUGCAGAAUGGGCGGAAGUGAGAUGUAGCGACGUCGCGUGCGGGAUGACGGCCUUCGGGGUGUAAACCGCUUUCGAAUGUGACGAAGAGGGAGUGACGGUAAUGGGUAAAGAAGCACCGGCUAACUACGUG